AGGACGAACGCUUGCGGCGUGCCUAAGAAAUGCAAGUCGAGCGGGGGUAGCAAUACCCUAGCGGCGAACGGUCGCGUAACACGUAAGCAACCUGCCCCGAAGACCGGGACAACAUCUCGAAAUGGGUGCUAAUACCCGGUAUUCACUUCUUCACGCAUGUGGGGUUGUGGAAAGGUUUUUCUGGUGGGGGAUGUGCUCGCGGCCUAUCAGCUUGUUGGUGGGGUAAUGGCUUACCAAGGCUUUGACGGGUAGCCGGCCUGAGAGGGUGACCGGCCACACUGGGACUGAGACACGGCCCAGACUCCUACGGGAGGCAGCAGUGGGGAAUAUUGGACAAUGGGCGGAAGCCUGAUCCAGCAACGCCGCGUGAGGGAUGACGGCCUUCGGGUUGUAAACCUCUUCACCAUUGACGAAGUCGCAUUCUUUUGGGUGUGGUGACGGUAGGUGGGAAGAAGCACCGGCCAACUACGUGCCAGCAGCCGC
rnacentral:rRNA from 1 species